GAUGUCGAUGUCACUGCAUUGCAUAUAUAUUUAUUUAAGUUUUGCAUUUCUGUAUUGUAAAUAAAGGUAUUUAAAUGGAUAUUCAAUCUGGAUUAAUUUGAUCACUAUAAUUUCAAAACUUCAGCCAUUGCCAAACUUGUCAAUAAAGCUAAAAAAAUAACAACUUUUCGAAGAUCAUUCCAAACAUUCAAGAAGUUUUAUAUCUUUUAGAGAUAAAAUGCAAUUUUUGAUUCUAUUCCUAGAACUACAAAAUCUUUUUAUAGAGAACUUCUUAUGAUGGUUGUUUUAUUUUGGUUCUACACUAUUUCUAUUUUGAGAAAUAAACUAAAUUUUUUAAUUUUAUUAAGUAUUUAUAAUAUUUUUUGAAAGUUUAAUAUUAUUAAAUUUUUAUAACACCUUCUUAAAGUUUUCGGAAUAUCGUCAUGUAUUUGAUAUCUAAAUUGUAUAAGGAUGCUAUACAUAUUUAAAAGCAUCUUCGUAAAUUUUUAAAAAUUGUAAUAUAAUGAUUCAUAUUUUUCUAAAUAUGCAUAUAAAUCAAAUUCAGGAAUAUAACAUUCAUAUUUUAGAAGAACUUCCUAAAUAUAUAUACAAGUUAUAUUUGAUAAGUCUAUUUAUACAUUUUUGAAGACAUUCAUGAAUUUGAGAAUUUUUAUAAAUUCAUGAAGAUAUAAUACAUGUUCAUAAAAUUCUUCCUAAUUUUUUUAAAGAAAAAAUGUUUUUCCAGAAAAAAAAAUGGAAAGAAAUUUUUUAAAAUAGUUUCAAUUUUUUUCAAUUUUAUUAUUUUGAUUUUUAAUAUUUAUUUAUUUUUAUUUAAUAAGUAAUUAAUUAUAAUUAUAAAUGAGUAUAGAAUUGUCAUUUCACCAUUUAAUGAUACGUAUUUUGCUCACUUUGAUUUUUGAAGCUAUUUAGAAAACCAAAAAGUGACUAUAAAAUCACCAAAUAAAGAGAUUCAAACUAUUUAGAAAACUAAAAAAUGGUUAUAAAAUCUUCUCUAUAUUAAAAGGAAUCAAUUAUCACGUGAUGGUGGCCACCAUGGGGGGGUCAAGUUGUCCAUAAGAGAAUAUGGCCUAUGCCUAUAGUGUUGUUUGGUGAGAAAAUACAAGACAAUGGACAAUGUGGGACCAGUCACAAGUGGCUUGAAUCUCUUUAUUUGCAAUAUAAAAUGAAUAUUUGAUUUUUACUAAUUGAACAUCUUUUACGAUAUCGAGUCGCAUUUUGCGUACUAGCCAAUGCAAUGAAAUCAAUAGAUUGUGAUAUUUGAUUUUGUAGGGUUGAACAACUAAAAUAAAGACUAAAUCGAAAUGAUUGCAAUUUCUAAAUAUAUAUAUAACUGAAUAAAAAAGAGUACAAAAAGCGUGUUUGGAAAAUAAUAUAAAGGAAAAGUUUCUCAUCCGAGUUUUUUUACCUAUAUAACAUUAAUAUAAUUAUGUCAUGGAUGAAUUUGUUGUACACUCAUAAGAAAGCAAAAAAUAAAAUAAAAAUAAAAUCAUGCUACAAUGGUAAUUGUUAGAUGAGACAAUUUGAACAUAAUUUUGAUCUUAUACAUCCAUGUGUAAGCGCAUGCGCUUAUAUUUGAAAUACAUUAUGCGACGUAACAUCCGGUAUCGAUUAACGAUCCAGUCUGCUAGCAUUAUCUUUAUAACUAGUGUGUCGUUGUGUAGCCAGUCUAAGUUUUCCAUUUCUUACUCUAUAAACUUUAUGAUUGCGUCAUCUUUUAUCAUAUCUCUAGCUCUUGUGGACACAGAGAUUACUCUAUUGCCAUAGUCCUUUAUUGCCCGUACUGAAUCAUCAGAGAAGGGAUUUCCUCUCAUUAUCAUAUUGGUUCUUUUUCUUGAGGUCAGUGGGCCCGGUGCUUCAGUGCUCUUAGCUUCCCGAUUUCUCUUGGGUGCACUUGUGUUGUUGUUGUUAAUUGGGAGUGAGACCUCGAUCUGUGCUAACCCUUCUUCGUGAAACUUGGAGUAAACGAAGUUUUGGAAACCGAAACACUGCUGAGUGGUAUGUCCUCCUCUGUUGUGGAAGCUGCAAAAAAUUUUGGAUUUGUCUUUCUCCCCAUCUCCUAUAUUCCAUGACUCGGGUCUGGGUUUGUUUGAUCGAGGUUUUGAAGUUUCCUUAUUUGAUUGUCAUCGGUUUUGCUUCAUUCGCUGACCUUACAGCUCCGAUCUUGUGAAUUUCCGUCUCUUCUCAAUCCUCCUCGUCGUCUUUGCCUAUCGUCGCAUGUUUUUCAGCAAACACCUUCUUUUCUUCUUCCAUUUCCAUGUAUUUUGAAGCUCUGUGGAGAGAGUCUUCCAGUGUGGAUGGUUUGCUAAGCAAGAAUUCUUCAUAAAUGCGUAAUUCAUGCCAUAAGUCAUUUAGCAGUGGAGAUAUGCAUGCACAGUCACUCACAACAAUGUUAGAGGGGAUGGUUUUUAACCUUCUAAUGAAAGAUCGAAGCGGCUCUCCUUAUCUCUGGGACACUGUUCACAGAUCGGUGUCAUAAGCUCUUUUCUCUAUACACAUAGAGUAGUGCUUCACAAACACAAUCGACAGCUGGUUAAAGUUGUUGAUGUGUUGGUCUAUACACGAGAAAUAGAGUUGAGAGCCGGUCCUACCAGAUUCUCGACGAAGAACUUGCAGUAACCGACAUCUUGUUAUCCAUCGUUGAAGAGCUGAGCUGAUGACUCGAUGGAACUGGGAUUGCAUCAAUCGGGAGGUCGGCAUGGUCUGGAAUGGUUGCUGUCGGAUCUGUUGAGUCAUGCUGGAGUGUAUGUCUUCCCUAGGACUACAUUUCAUGGAGUUCUCGAUGAUGAGGCUAGUAAGUCGUUGAUCUGAGCUUGUUGUCCCACCUUGGUUUGCAUGAUUUGCUCCAGACGAUGCAUGGCUUGUUGUUCUGAUGUAUCAUGUUAACGUGCAUUGAAGUAGAACAGAAAAACAUGUCGUAAAUUUUUUUGGUACCUGGUUUAUCAGAGCCGUUGUAUCGACAGUCAGUACUGGCGGUAGUUCCGCCAUUUGGGAUGGCGGAAUGGGCAAAACAAAAGUCCAUCUUGGCCAAACUGAUGUGUUCCAGGCUGCUGGGCAAUCGGAUUUCCAUCUGAAUCGAGCGGGGUCUGGAUGAAUGGUGUGCCACUCGGGUUAAGCUAUUUCAUUCAUCCUUGGAAUUAUUAAUGUUUAUGUUGCUUCCUGUAGCACCAGAUGUGUCUUGUCCAGCCAUUGGUGACACAUCCAGCCAUUGUGGUCUGUGUUUCAAGUCAAAUUAUUCAAAAGGGUGUUUUAUGUUUAAUCGCCCUUAAUUCUAGUAGUCCGCUUAGAAAGUAGGAUUUAAUGUUUUGAUAACAUAUAUAAAAAAAAAAAGUUUAACGACAAAAAUUUUCCAGAAAUUCCUAAUUUUCAGAAUUCACCCUCUGAAUCUAUCAAACCAAAAAGAUACGAUAUAAAACCAAAACUAAACCGAAAUGCACACCCCCACCGAAGAGGAGGUAAAGACUUGCAAUAUUUGCUUAGGGAUGUGAAGUUUUAUUGUUCUACAUAAAGAACUGAAUGAAAAACUUCAAAAAAAAGUAUAGCAACAACUCUAAGAUUAUUACACAGCUCUGUAGACAACUUACAAUGAUUAUUACACAAGUCUGUAGACAACUUACAAGAACUGGAUCCAAAGUUCAUGAACAAACACAAA